rnacentral:misc_RNA from 1 species
UGAAAUGCGAUAAUUAGUGUGAAUUGCAUUAUCUCGUGAAUCAUCAAGUUUUUGAACGCAUCUUGCACUUUUUCUACCAAGAAAGAGUAUACUUGUUUGAGUAUUAUUAUUAUUUAUGAAGUUGUUUAAUAAACUGCUUUUAAAAAUUAUAUGUUGUAGAUUUUAUUUGAUAACUUUAUUAUUAUAAAAUAAACACAAAAACCAAGGAUCAUCGCAUCAUUUAUUAAUCUCAAAUCAAGUAAGGUUACCCGCUGAACUUAA